AGCUCCGUACUUUAGAAAAAGGCUUAAUCUGCACUUAACCAUCGAGGGACCAACCCCUCCGGAGCUA
rnacentral:tRNA from 1 species